ensembl:lncRNA
UCUGAGAGCGAGACGCUGUGAGAGGACCUCGAUAAAGUGUGAUGCUCUGCUGGGUGAAAGCACACUGCUGAAAGAAGCAGAUAAAGAGGUGAGGUGGAGGGAGAAACAGAUGGGAGGCUAGGGUGGAGGUCGAGGGAUGCUACAGUAACUCGUGCUGAAAGCGUCACUAGUUAAUGGUUAAUGGAGGGCCGGGAGAGCCCCUCAGGACGCUAUUAGCCGAACCCCAGUCACAGCUACAUUCCUGCAGCCUCUGGGAGAGAGAUCUGGCUUUUUAUGGUGAUAGGAGGGCAGAUCCGUCACAACCCGGCCUGGGAAAGUGCCAGGAGAAAGAAAAGACACGUGUUGUGGUGCUGGAAAACCAGAGUAUCACGACAUAAAAUCCCCACUGGUGGAGCCACAGAAAUGAAUCACACACAUAUGUAGUGCGCUUAUGGCUGUGUGUGACUGUGUGUGUGGAGCAGGCGGUGGAUGGAUGAGGAGGUGGGGUCUCAUCACUCCAAAUAUUCCCAUUUGCUUCUGCAACACAAAUGACACCCUGCCGGCAACUUCAUGAUUACGUCAAUUUGUUUGUCUUUGUUUUGAUGAGCCCAGCGCACACACACACACA